GCGCAAGAGACCUCACGUUCAGCACGAGACUCACCUUUGGCUCUGUAAACAACACGACGCUUGACCACAAUCAAAACAAAGCUUUCUGACCGUUUUGAAGAUAUAAAAGUAAAUUUCCUGCAGGUGACAGUCAGUGAGAGCCUUUAAAUGUCAUUUAUCAGCACACAUUUCAGCCCUUCAGGCAAAAACACGCGACUAUCCCCGGAUGAAGUGCAGGAAUGCUGGACACUCCAUCACCUUUCAGCCUACUUUACUGUAUUACCGCUCCAGGUGUGUCCGAGCCGUCACUGCUUUGUCUUACUGCCCCAGGAUUGUCCGUGCGUUUGCCUUACCGCCACAGAUGAGCUUGUGAUUCAUUGAACACAGCUGGCAGAUCCUUUAUGGUUCAUCAGUCCUCAUGUCAGUCUGAUCAACUGCUUCUGAGCUGGACCUGAGAGAGACAUCUAGUGCUCAAUGCUGAAAUUACAGCUCAUUCACAAACAAAUGAGUGGAAUAUUGUCCCAGCACAUUGCUCAACAUCAGUUGUGUUUAAUUGUGCUUUAUAAAUAAAGGUUUGAUGAUCAAAUAUACAUCUAUGGCUGAACUACAACUAUUUUAGCUAUCAGAAAUCCCAGCCCUCACCUGUGUGAAGAAAAUGACGUUUAGCCUUGUUCUGGAGGUCAUCGUCAUCCUCUGGGGUGAAGAACAGCUUAACUGAAGCCUCCUGCUCAAACACAGUGUUUCUAACAAAAGCCGGAGCAUCACAUAUAACUGAUCAAGGGAAAUGACUCUAUUACCAUAUUCUCCUUCAACAGCGCAAGCCCUACUUGAUCUGCUUGGACACACGAUCCACUUCCAAACCGCUGAGGACCGUAAUAAUUCACAAAGCCAUUGUUCUGGAAAAUAAAGUCAUAUUUUUGUAGUUCUGUGUGUACAUUUCUUCAUGAAAUGCUGCUGAACAUGCGCACAUUCUAACUUUACACACUCCAAUUUUAGGAUCCCACAACGACUCCAUCCCCAUCUUAUCUUUCAGGCACUGUUGUUCACAUCCUUUUCUCCACAUUGCUUCUCAUUGAUGAGACAGAAUAAAUACUUUGCAAUAAAUUUGAUGAUUUAAGUUUUAGAAAGCAAAUUGAUAUUUUACCAAAUUGGUCAAAGUGAAUGUAAAGUGUACAAAUGCAUACACACAAUACACAUAGAAUGAAACUAGUUUUUUAUUUUGUUGAAAUUGUUAGACUAAUAUUUAAAGCUUUGUACUCAAAGGCUCUUUAAGUAAACCCUCAUCACUAUGAAUAUUUUGCAAUAUACACUCUGCUAUUAAAAAAAUAAGUUCUGGCACCAUCUUGUGGCUCUUUCCAAGUACUUCAUAAUCACAUUAAAAUACCGAAAUAAUUAGAUGAAGUAAAAGAAAAAAAUAACAAAUAUUGGGAAAAUCAUUUACCGCUUAGGAGAGAUCUUGGACCACAGCACUCAUGUGUUUAUCAGGAAAAGUUCCCAACAACAGUUCCACCUUUUCCUGAUCAUCUGAAGAGGGUUUCACUUCCAGUUUAUUAGUAAAAUACUCCAAUUCCCUGAUCCUGCUGAGCCGCUCUCCUGAGUUUAGCUGCAACCCUGAUUUUUUAUUCAAUAAGUGUGCUUGAACAAUAACAGAAAGGCGUCAAUACUUCAGCCCUGAUUAAAAACGCAGCAGCAGCUAAUCAAGGCCUUCAGCAUCACUUGAAACAUCCAGACUGAUGUGCUGCAUUGCUUGUGACACAGAUAAUAAUUAAAACAUCAACAUUUUUUUAAACUAUUGAAUUAUUGAUAUUUUUUACUUUGAUAAUAUAUUUUACUGACCAUUUUUAUGAUGCUGUAUAACUCAGAUCUCUUGUUUUACUACAUGGAAUAAUGUUUUCUUGCCACAUCAGUUUAGUCUCUCAAAUCAAAGCUGAACUGAACCACUGUCCUAAGAGUCAUUAAAAUAAACACAUCAGCAGUCCAGUCAGGGGCCUGUAGUGUGAAGCUGGAUUAGCUGGUUAGACGGUUCACUUUCAGUUUAGUUUGCACAAGUUCUGGGUUUUAUGUAGGGCUGCAGGAUAUUGGGAAAAACUGACAUUGCGAUAUUUAGUUUUUCUGCGAUAUAUACUGCAAUAGGAAUAUAAUUUCACAAUAUGAAUAAUAAUUUGAAUUUGGAGAAAUGUUGAUUGUGAUGAUUUUAUCGAGAGUGAAUCUGCAUAAAAUAUAAUAAACAUACAACAAGCAGAAAUUAAUAAAAUAGAAGAAAUAUACAAAUGAUAUAAACAGUGCUUUAUGGCUUUCUGGAGAGUCUAACAGUACUGAGGGACAGAAAUUAAAAGAUCAAAUGUAAAAUAUCACUUUAUAAGGUGAAAACCUUUCAUUAAAGUGGUCCUCAAACUGUUUAACAACAUCUCGUCUGGUCUUAGGAACAUUUUGAAACACUUUUCUGAUACACUUCAAAUGUUGACUACUUUAGUCUUCACUGUAGAAAUAAUUCAAUGCAAUUAUUCUUUGUUGAAGCUACACAUUUGAUCAUUUCUAGCGCCCAAAUGGUUUAAAUUCACUUGAAAUCUUACAUUGUCUAAUGCAGGCCUGAAAAAUCUUUCACUCAGUGAGGGUUAAACUGUUCUGAACUGAACUCUGUUCUCUGGUUAAUCACAAUCCCGACUCAACAUAGAAGAUCCUGUGAUGUGACUAUUGCAGAUUUGCAGAUUGUGAUAACGAUGCUGAAACAAGAUAUUGUACAGUUCUAGUUUUAGGUAACAUGAAAGUAGCUGGACUUCAAUCACUCUUUGUUGGUAUCAUGGAGCAGCCGAGCAGAGCUAAGCUCCUUCAUGGUACCUAAAACCCAGAUUUUAUGCAAAUUAACUGAAACUGAACUGGCUAGCCACUAAUCUGGCUUCAUGGCACAGGCUCCACAUCUCUACAAUGAGCGAAUGCUGUGGUGUGUUUGAGAACAGGACGGUGGUGUCUCUCCCUGAGCUCCAGAACUGUGUCCAGAAGGGCUUCUGCUUUUGCCUGCAAAAAAAUUAAAACACUCCGCCGUCUCUUUCCCAGUUGUUUUGGUUCUCACUCUUCCCUUUCUAGAGGAGUGACCCUCCAAAAAGAAAAUGAUGGUAACCGACAUGUUGAACAACACAAACACAAGUGAGAAAUCUUCACACACUGACACAUAUAUUUCAGGAGUAACUUCAUAAAUCACAACACAGUGAAUAGAAACAGUUUUAGAUCACCCACACCACAGCUAAAACUGAAGAAUCUGUCAUCAUUUUGAAGGAUUCGGAUCCUUUUUGCAUCAUCCUGUUUCUCAUUAUCUUUAUUAAAUAUGAUUAUUUAAUGAGUAUUUAACUUUGAAAUGAUUUUAACUAAUGAAUAAGUUAACACACUGCUCUAUGUAAGAAUGUUCAGUGCAUUUGCCUGUCUCUAUUGUUAUUUCUAUAAGUUGAUACUAUCUAAAAUGUCUAAAGUGAUUUUGCUCUUUUUAUGUUUAAUUCUUUUAAAGUGAUUCUACUUUUUAUUCAAGAUAGACUUUGUGUAGUAAGGAUAUCACUGCCUGAAUGUAGAUUAUACCGGUUUUUAACCAGUUUUGAUACAGACGGCUGAGAAUACACUCAUGCUUGGGUAAGAAACAGAUUAUACUUUAAGUGUGUGUGUUCUAUUUGAAUGUGGAUCCGUUUCACAGGUCUGGAGUCAGCUCUAAACAGUCUAGUGGAUGUCUGACGUUUAUGCUUAAGAUAUUGUUCAGAAUUGUACGCACGAACCCCACGUGGAAAUUUUCCUAGUCUAUCUGUGUUUUAACCAAUCAGGUUAGAACACCAAUAUGUGUGAUGCAGUUAAUGACGUUAUGUGAGAGUAUAAUUGUUAUUGAUUGGUGAUUGUAAGCAGAGCGGCAUAGGAACUCAUUGUGAGUGUUGAAGCUGGCUUCUGCUGAUGAAACUGCAACUAUCUUCAGUAAACUUUAUUUAUUUAUUUGAAA